rnacentral:rRNA from 1 species
AGAGUGGCGACCGGCGCACGGGUGAGUAACACGUAUCCAACCUGCCGCUUACUCGGGGAUAGCCUUCGAAAGAAAGAUUAAUACCCGAUGGUAUAAAGAGUUCGCAUGUUCUCUUUAUUAAAGAAUUUCGGUAAGCGAUGGGGAUGCGUUCCAUUAGAUAGUUGGCGGGGUAACGGCCCACCCAAGUCUACGAUGGAUAGGGGUUCUGAGAGGAAGGUCCCCCACAUUGGAACUGAGACACCGGUCCAAACUCCUACGGGAGGCAGCAGUGAGGAAUAUUGGUCAAUGGACGAGAGUCUGAACCAGCCAAGUAGCCGUGAAGGAUGACUGCCCUAGUGGGUUAGUAAACUUCUUUUAUAAGGGAAUAAAGUGAGGGACGUGUCCCUUUUUGUAUGUACCUUAUGAAUAAGGAUCGGCUAACUCCGUGCCAGCAGCAGC